AUUAGAUAAAAAACCGAUGUCUUCGGACUCUUUGGUGAUUCAUAAUAACUUCACGAAUCGCAUGGCCUUGAGCUGGCGAUGGUUCAUUCAAAUUUCUGCCCUAUCAACUUUCGAUGGUAGGAUAGUGGCCUACCAUGGUUUCAACGGUAACGGGGAAUUAGGGUUCGAUUCCGGAGAGGGAGCCUGAGAAACGGCUACCACUUCCAAGGAGGGCAGCAGGCGCGCAAAUUACCCAAUCCCGACACGGGGAGGUAGUGACAAUAAAUACUGAUGCAGGGCCCUUUCGGGUCUUGUAAUCGGAAUGAGUACAAUUUAAAUCCCUUAACGAGGAACAAUUGGAGGGCAAGUCUGGUGCCAGCAGCCGCGGUAAUUCCAGCUCCAAUAGCGUAUAUUAAAGUUGUUGCAGUUAAAAAGCUCGUAGUUGAACCUUGGGUCUGGCUGACUGGUCCGCCUCACUGCGUGCACUGGUUCGGCCGGACCUUUCCUUCUGGCAAACCCCAUGCCCUUUACUGGG
rnacentral:rRNA from 1 species